GGCACGCGUCUCAUAAAGCACGUCCCGCAAGGCGCCUUGCGAUCUAGGCGCGAUCUAGUUGCGCGCUACGAGUCUACGCGCGCGUAGACUGAUGACUGGACCGUAGCGGAACCGGGAGCUGAUCGUGGAUUCUAUCUAUAGCCAGCUGGGCGAACCUUAAAUAGCCGCGGGAAUUUGCAACGCUCUCGAAUGCCGUAACCUAUACCAGCACACGGCACUAGCAAGAAUCUCGCGAGUUGAUCGCGUUUAUUGGUGGUAGUGGCGAUGACUACUGACCUGCAUGGGAGCCUAGGAGGUUCCUGCAUCGCUGUCCUGGAAGAUGGUCUGGCAAUGCGGGCUUGACGUUCCGGUAGUAGCGAAUCACUUUGAUAGUAUUGACAUCCACAACGAACCUCACGUCCGAGGCUGGACGUUGAUGAUGCUCGCGAGGUGCGUCCUCGUUGUUGCUCUCCUUGCAUCCCCACCUCGAGAGAGGCGUCGACGUCAACGCCGACGCCGAAAACCAAUGAACCUACUCCAGUCUUUUCCUUCUCUCUCUCCCUUUUUACUUUGUCGAAUAUCGGCAAAGACGAAAGAGUCGUAAUCUAUUCGCGUAGAGACACGACACUUCGUGUUUUUUUGUUUUUGCGAUCCUAAACCUUUCCCCUCCUUUCUCCUCUCUUGCAGCCUCCCGUGAAUUUCGAGGUCGCUCUUUCGAGGGCGUGCUUACGACAUCACCGCCAUCACAUUCACAAGCAUCACCACCCACCACCGCUACGAUCUUCACCCUCUUCUCUGGAAGAGAGGAGAAAA